GACGAACGCUGGCGGCGUGCCUAAUACAUGCAAGUAGAACGCUGAAGGAGGAGCUUGCUUCUCUGGAUGAGUUGCGAACGGGUGAGUAACGCGUAGGUAACCUGCCUGGUAGCGGGGGAUAACUAUUGGAAACGAUAGCUAAUACCGCAUAAGAGUAGAUGUUGCAUGACAUUUGCUUAAAAGGUGCAAUUGCAUCACUACCGGAUGGACCUGCGUUGUAUUAGCUAGUUGGUGAGGUAACGGCUCACCAAGGCGACGAUACAUAGCCGACCUGAGAGGGUGAUCGGCCACACUGGGACUGAGACACGGCCCAGACUCCUACGGGAGGCAGCAGUAGGGAAUCUUCGGCAAUGGACGGAAGUCUGACCGAGCAACGCCGCGUGAGUGAAGAAGGUUUUCGGAUCGUAAAGCUCUGUUGUAAGAGAAGAAACGAGUGUGAGAGUGGAAAGUUCACAACUGUG
rnacentral:rRNA from 1 species